UUAGAUCAGAAGCGAGAAUGUUGACAUGAGUAGCGACAAACAGGGUGAGAAACCCUGUCGCCGAAAGUCCAAGGGUUCCUGCUUAAAGCUAAUCUGAGCAGGGUAAGCCGGCCCCUAAGGCGAGGCCGAAAGGCGUAGUCGAUGGGAACCAGGUUAAUAUUCCUGGGCCAGUGGGAUGUGACGGAUCGCAGAUGUAGUUUGCCCUUAUCGGAUUGGGUGGGCUGCUGAGCGGUUCCAGGAAAUAGCCCCACAUCAGACCGUACCCUAAACCGACACAGGUGGACUGGUAGAGUAUACCAAGGCGCUUGAGAGAACCACGUUAAAGGAACUCGGCAAAAUGCCUCCGUAAGUUCGCGAGAAGGAGGCCCCAUAUGUACGCAAGUAUGUGUGGGGGGCACAAACUAGGGGGUGGCGACUGUUUACUUAAAACACAGGGCUGUGCGAAGCCGUAAGGCGACGUAUACAGUCUGACGCCUGCCCGGUGCUGGAAGAUUAAGAGGAGGGGUGCAAGCUCUGAAUUGAAGUCCCAGUAAACGGCGGCCGUAACGAUAACGGUCCUAAGGUAGCGAAAUUCCUUGUCGGGUAAGUUCCGACCUGCACGAAUGGCGUAACGAUCUCCCCGCUGUCUCUAACGUGGACUCAGCGAAAUUGAACUGUGUGUCAAGAUGCACACUACCCGCGGUUAGACGGAAAGACCCCAUGAACCUUUACUCCAGCUUUGCACUGGUAUCAGGAUUGUGACGUGCAGGAUAGGUGGUAGGCAUUGAAGCGGGGACGCCAGUCUUCGUGGAGCCUCCCUUGAGAUACCACCCUUCGCCAUCUUGAUAUCUAACCGCGGCCCGUUAUCCGGGUCCGGGACCCUGCAUGGUGGGGAGUUUGACUGGGGCGGUCGCCUCCCAAACAGUAACGGAGGCGCGCGAUGGUUGGCUCAGACCGGUCGGAAAUCGGUCGUUGAGCGCAAUGGCAGAAGCCAGCCUGACUGCAAGACUGACAAGUCGAGCGGAGACGAAAGUCGGUCAUAGUGAUCCGGUGGUCCCAAGUGGGAGGGCCAUCGCUCAACGGAUAAAAGGUACUCUGGGGAUAACAGGCUGAUGAUGCCCAAGAGUCCAUAUCGACGGCAUCGUUUGGCACCACGAUGUCGGCUCAUCUCAUCCUGGGGCUGGAGCAGGUCCCAAGGGUAUGGCUGUUCCCAUUUAAAGAGGUACGUGAGCUGGGUUUAGAACGUCGUGAGACAGUUCGGUCCCUAUCUGCCGUGGGUGCAGGAGACUUGAGAAGAGUUGACCCUAGUACGAGAGGACCGGGUUGAACGGACCACUGGUGGACCAGUUAUCGUGCCAACGGUAGUGCUGGGUAGCUAUGUUCGGACAGGAUAACCGCUGAAGGCAUCUAAGCGGGAAGCCCCCUUCAAAACAAGGUCUCCCUUGAGGGCCGUGGAAGACGACCACGUCGAUAGGCCAGAGGUGUAAGUGCAGCAAUGCAUUCAGCUGACUGGUACUAAUUGCCAA
rnacentral:rRNA from 1 species